rnacentral:tRNA from 1 species
GGAGGGGUUCACGGUUCAGUGGCAGAAUCUCUGUUUUAUACGCAGAAGGUCCCAGGUUCUAUCCUGGGCACCUCCA